UGGGGAAUAUUGCACAAUGGGCGCAAGCCUGAUGCAGCCAUGCCGCGUGUAUGAAGAAGGCCUUCGGGUUGUAAAGUACUUUCAGCGGGGAGGAAGGCGAUAAGGUUAAUAACCUUGUCGAUUGACGUUACCCGCAGAAGAAGCACCGGCUAACUCCGUGCCAGCAGCCGCGGUAAUACGGAGGGUGCAAGCGUUAAUCGGAAUUACUGGGCGUAAAGCGCACGCAGGCGGUCUGUCAAGUCGGAUGUGAAAUCCCCGGGCUCAACCUGGGAACUGCAUUCGAAACUGGCAGGCUAGAGUCUUGUAGAGGGGGGUAGAAUUCCAGGUGUAGCGGUGAAAUGAGUAGAGAUCUGGAGGAAUACCGGUGGCGAAGGCGGCCCCCUGGACAAAGACUGACGCUCAGGUGCGAAAGCGUGGGGAGCAAACA
rnacentral:rRNA from 1 species